CAGCAGCCGCGGGAAUACGUAGGGUGCAAGCGUUAAUCGGAAUUACUGGGCGUAAAGCGUGCGCAGGCGGUUAUAUAAGACAGAUGUGAAAUCCCCGGGCUCAACCUGGGAACUGCAUUUGUGACUGUAUAGCUAGAGUACGGCAGAGGGGGAUGGAAUUCCGCGUGUAGCAGUGAAAUGCGUAGAUAUGCGGAGGAACACCGAUGGCGAAGGCAAUCCCCUGGGCCUGUACUGACGCUCAUGCACGAAAGCGUGGGGAGCAAACAGGAUUAGAUACCCGAGUAGUCCCUGUCUCUUAUAC
rnacentral:rRNA from 1 species